rnacentral:rRNA from 1 species
UACGUAGGGUGCAAGCGUUGUCCGGAAUUAUUGGGCGUAAAGAGCUCGUAGGCGGUUUGUCGCGUCUGCUGUGAAAACCCGAGGCUCAACCUCGGGCCUGCAGUGGGUACGGGCAAACUAGAGUGCGGUAGGGGAGAAUGGAAUUCCUGGUGUAGCGGUGGAAUGCGCAGAUAUCAGGAAGAACACCGAUGGCGAAGGCAGUUCUCUGGGCCGUAACUGACGCUGAGGAGCGAAAGCGUGGGGAGCGAACAGG